rnacentral:lncRNA from 1 species
CCCAACAAAAACGGCAGUGUUCAACAAGCUUACUGACGGAGUGAAAGAAGAGAUCAAAAAGAUCAGCACCCAGAUGGAACCUGUCCAUGAGAUCUUUGAGAGGAUUUUAACAGAAGGAGUGAACUUGGCCAAGCAACAAUGGGAAUCUGCUUUGGAUGAGAAACUUGGAUCUAUAAGCUCCUAUACGAAAUUAAGGAGUAUUAUUAGUCACAAUGGUGUUCAAGAGACUAAAACUGGGGACCAUAUCAAUCUGAACACCACACUGUCCUCAUUUCUGACCAACAGCAUCGAUCGCCGAUUCAGAGAUACCUUUCCUAAUACAGCGAAAGAAGGGCCCUUCUAUGGAGCUGUUCAUGCUUUGUCUCUUGACCUUGAACGUCUGAUUGAAAAUAAUAAAGAUGUAGAACUCCUGCUGAAAUUUCUGAAGAGAGAGGAAGAAAAACUGAAGGUUAAGCUCUGUGAAGACAUUCGUCGCUAUAAGAAGCAGAUCUACAGAAGCCUGACAGAGACAGUGACAAUGGAGAUGUCUAAAGGAUAUACAGGAGCAAAACAAAUAAGUGGCACUGGUGCUGUGGAGCAAAUGAAACGGACUCUGAAGGAGCAUGUCCGGGGGACUGAAGGCAUGUUUGACAAAGCCAAAAAUGAAAUGUUGAAGGAGCUGCAGAAACUCAUGAGAGACAUCACCACAGACAUUGUUAAGCAUCUGAUAAAUGCGAUGAACGUGUCCCUCAACAGUGACAUGACGGCCGUGCCAGAUGUUACAGAGGAGUUCAACAAGGUGACGAGAUUCUACAAUGGAGACUGAAUAACAUUUUAAUUUGGGCAAGAUACAGCAACAUUUUUAUGAAUGCUUUGUUUGUAUUUUGCUGACAAAAUCUGAAUAAUGGAUAAAUCAAGGUUUAUUAUUAUUAUAUUGCAUUGGUUUUAUAUAGCGCUUUUCUU